UCCAGUCAUUUCUGUUAAUUUGCAGAGGG
rnacentral:piRNA from 1 species